rnacentral:rRNA from 1 species
UUUUUGGGCUUGGUAAUUGGAAUGAGGGAGAGUUAAACGGACCAUCGAGUAUCCAUUGGAGGGCAAGUCUGGUGCCAGCAGCUGCGGUAAUACCAGCUCCAAUAGCGUAUAUUAAAGUUGUUGCAGUUAAAAAGCUCGUAGUUGGACUUGUGUGCGCUGUCCGCGGGUGGCCUGCGCCCAAAAGGGCGUUUCGGUUCGGCCCCGGUGGCGCCUUGAAAUCUGCAGCUGGGGGGACGUUGGCCUUAACUGGUCGGCGACCGCACGCCGGCUGCUCGGUUACUGUGAGAAAAUUAGAGUGUUCAAGGCAGGCAUUGGGUGCAAUUGAAUACAUUAGCAUGGAAUAAUAAAAUAUGGCUCCUGCCGUAUUUUGUUGGUUUUGACUGGUGGGAGUAAUGAUUGAUAGGGACGGUUGGGGGUGCUAGUAUUGAGCGGCCAGAGGUGAAAUUCAUGGAUUCGCUCAAGACUAACUUAUGCGAAAGCAUUCACCAAGGACGUCCUCUUUAAUCAAGAACGAAAGUUGGGGGAUCGAAGACGAUCAGAUACCGUCGUAGUCUCAACCAUAAACUAUGUCGACUUGGGAUCGGCGGUAGUUUUUUCAUUAAGACACUGUCGGGACCACGGGAGAAAUCAAAGUGUCUGGACUCUGGGGGAAGUAUGGUCGCAAGGCUGAAACUUGAAGGAAUUGACGGAAGGGCACCACCAGGAGUGGAGCCUGCGGCUUAAUUUGACUCAACACGGGGAAACUUACCAGGUCCAGAGAUGUAGAGGAUUGACAGAUUGAAGCUCUUUCUUGAUCACUUCGGUGGUGGUGCAUGGCCGUUCUUAGUUGGUGGAGUGAUUUGUCUGGUUAAUUCCGUUAACGAACGAGACCUCAGCCUGCUAGUGUAGUCGGCUGGAUUGCCUUUGGCGAUCCGUGAUUUCGACUUCUUAGAGGGACAAUCGACGCGCAGUCGAUGGAAGUUUGAGGCAAUAACAGGUCUGUGAUGCCCUUAGAUGUUCUGGGCCGCACGCGCGCUACACUGCUGGGCUCAGCGAGUUUUACUUGGCCGAGAGGCCCGGUUAAUCUUGUGAAAUCCCAGCGUUCUUGGGCUCGCCUCCUGCAACUGGAGGCGCCAACGAGGAAUUCCUAGUAGACGCAGGUCAUCAACCUGCAUCGAUUACGUCCCUGCCCUUUGUACACACCGCCCGUCGUUCCAUAAGAGUGAGGCAUCCGGUGAAUUCUCGGGAGAGCCUGGGCGUGGCCAGCAAUGGUCUGCUCGGGUUUGAACUUGCAUAAACUUGGUGCCUAUGAUUAGGG